AAAAAUGUAUUUAGUUAACACUUGUAUUAAACUUGAACACAACUUUUAUACAAAGAUGGGUUCAAGUUUACUACAAGUGGUACCUAAAUAAAUUUUUUAAAUACAUUUUUAGCACAUUUUAGUUCAUAUUUAGUUCAUUAGUGUCUCAAAAUAGCACAGUGAAGUACACUUAGAUGAUCUUAAGAACAUCUUAAGAAGUACUAAGGAUGAAUUUUUAGUAUAUUAAGUACAAAAUUUGUGUGUGAAAAUAAAGCACAUUAAAUACACUAUGGAAUAUUAAAUAACCUGGGUUAACACAUGAGUCAGUUUUGGUGAACUGUUACUUCAAAACUCUACACAUAAAUCCUUACAUUUCUCAGUGCUUACACCAUCUGGUCAUAUGGAAAGCACUAGCAUUCAAUACUGUUCACUCAAGUCAGCACAGCUUAGGCUCAAUUAGCAAACAAUUACCAAGGUGAAAACACUAAAAGUCAAAAUUGAACACACAUCAAUCAGAUCCUUCAAUAGAUAGAUAAAGGGCCUGAAUCUGUUCACUGAGCUUUGGAACAAUAGAUCCACAGAGAAAUGAAGGAAUAGGUUGAGGAGGAGAAAGAGGAGGAUGGAAAGGACGUGGUGAGGGAGGAGAAAGAGGACAUGGUGAAGGAGAGAACAAGAUGAAGAAAUAGGUUGAGGAGGAGGAGGCAGAAGAGGAGGGAAAGAAGGAGGACGUGGUGAAGGAGGAGGAAGAGGACAUGGUAAAGGAGGAGGGAGGGGACAUGAUGAAGAAACAGGUCGAGGAGGAGAAGGGAGAGGAAUAGGCUGAGGGAGAGGAGGAGGGAAAGGAGGAGGAAGAGGAGGAGGACGUGGUGAAAGAGGAGGAGGGAGAUGAAGGGCAAGGUGACAAGCAGUCUCAGAUGAAAUUCAAGCCACUUUAGUUGACCAUGUCCUGGUCCAUGACUAUGAGGGAGGCGGAGAAAUGAGUAAAGCCUAAUUUGAGUCGCUUCACUGUUGCCUCCAUCUUCAGAGCCUUCAGGGAAGAAAACAGAUAGAUGUACUUACAGUAAGACUGCUCUGUACAGUAACUUUAGUGUGCAUACACUGUUCGACUAUGCUACUGGAAUAAAGAAAUGCAUCAAAUUGCCUUCCAUACAGAUUGACAUAUCAGUAGAUGAAUGCAAGGGGUGGAUCAGGCAAGAGGAUUUUACCCUUGAUGUUUGGCUAGGACGUAGGACCAAUAUAGUCUGUGAUGUGGAUGAGAUUCUCUGGCCUGACCCAGAACUACAGUAGGUGGCGGUACUGCACCUAAAAGUUGUUUGCUAACCACCAGUAAAACUCGAGAAGGAGACUGAUCGUUGGCAUGCUCUCAACCCAGGAAAAACUUCAAGCUUUACAAGAUGCUGUUUUAAACCAGUUUCCACGGCCAAAGCUGAUGUUAGAAAAUCCAUCAACAGUAGAAUAUGCGAGCUAAGACACCAGGUGAAGUGUAAAAGCAUGGGUAUAUAAGUCAUUUAAAUCAGUGAAGAGCCAAGAUGGACUCCUAAUCAGGAUAAAGGCCUGUUCUUUUGGCAAUUUAUUUCUUUGCUUUUUCAUGUUGCCAAAGCUCCUUGAAAGUUUGUUUAUUAUUUAUUUAUCUAUUUUUGUCUGUGCAUUUUGUUUAUAUUGUAUUUUUAACUGUAUAACGGCACUGCUGAAGUUUGAAAUAAAUAGACAUUGGAAAUUUAAAUUGCUUUAAUUUAUAUUUUAUAUAUUUUCUGUUUAUUGUCACUCUUUUAACAUGUAAUUUAUGUAAAUGUAAUGCAAGACAUUUAUGUAAUGUAAAGCAAAUCACAUUGUCUGACCAUGUGCAAAACCUCUUGUGGUUGUAAUAGGCCUGUUUAGCUCUCUACCUCAAAUUGGUUUUAGUAUGUGUGCCUGAUUAAAAGAAAAUAAAGGUGGCUUUUGAUAGAUUAUCCAUUAGUCUGUGUUAAUAUGUGGUAUAAAUGUGUAUACAUAUUUUUAUGUAUAUAUUUCUAUAUAAUUUUACAUGUUAUUUAAAAUACAUUCUACCAUAUAGUAAACAUGCAUGUGCCACUAUAUCUGUACAUAUAUUGUUAAUACAUUUUUGCAUAUCAAUCGGAAUACAAUAUGGCGGAUAUUUAUGAAUAUA